rnacentral:lncRNA from 1 species
UAUAAUCUGAUACUUAAACUGUGCUUUUUCUCUCCUCCUUCCUUCUAAUUGAAUUGAAGUCCCCAACAACACACCACACCCUGUUUUGUUGUCUCUUCCUGAUCUCACUAAUCUCCUCCCAUACCUCAUUCCGUGCUUUCAACGAACCGGAGCUAUACACAUUCACUAUCGUAAGUUGUACCCCAUCUCCUGCUUUCCAAACUCCUUCAAUAACCGAAUAAGCUUUUCCAUUAAAAAAUCCCGUCAUAUCAAAACUGCUUCUUCUCCACAUAGUAAUAAUUCCUCCUGCAUUAUUAACUGCCCCAUUCUCUAACCAUUCAAUUUCGUUUGAACCCCACAAAUAAUAAC